rfam:Nicotiana attenuata strain TT scaffold03588, whole genome shotgun sequence.
CCCUCGGCUUUUGUUAAAGCCAUUAAUGGUGAUAUAAAAAAUCUA